GAUGAAGAACGUAGCGAAAUGCGAUACUUGGUGUGAAUUGCAGAAUCCCGUGAACCAUCGAGUCUUUGAACGCAAGUUGCGCCCGAAGCCACUAGGCCGAGGGCACGCCUGCCUGGGCGUCACACGCCGUUGCCCCCCCAUCUACUCCUUCGGGAUUGCGGGGGGGCGGAUGAUGGCCUCCCGUGCGCCUAGCCGCGCGGUUGGCAUAAAUACCAAGUCCUCGGCGACGCACGCCACGACAAUCGGUGGUUGCGAAACCUCGGUUGCCCGUCGUGUGCGUUCGUCGCGCAUCGAGGGCUCGAAAAAAUGCUCGGCUCCGGCUGGGCUUUCAACGCGACCCCAGGUCAGGCGGGGUUACCCGCUGAAUUUAAGCAUAUCAAGAAGCGGAGGA
rnacentral:misc_RNA from 1 species